GACGUUAGCGACAGAAGAAGCACCGGCUAACUCCGUGCCAGCAGCCGCGGUAAUACGGAGGGUGCGAGCGUUAAUCGGAAUUACUGGGCGUAAAAGCGCAUGCAGGUGGUUUGUUAAGUCAGAUGUGAAAAGCCCGGGCUCAACCUCGGAAAUUGCAUUUGAAAACUGGCAGACUAGAGUACUGUAGGAGGGGGUAGAAUUUCAGGUGUAGCGGUGAAAAUGCGUAGAGAUCUGAAGGAAUACCGGUGGCGAAGGCGGCCCCCUGGACAGAUACUGACACUCAGAUGCGAAAGCGUGGGGAGCAAACAGGAUUAGACUACCCUGGUAG
rnacentral:rRNA from 1 species